UACGUAGGGUGCGAGCGUUGCCCGGAUUUAUUGGGCGUAAAGGGCGCGUAGGCGGCUUGGCACGUCCGUUGUGAAAUCGCCCGGCUCAACUGGGCGGGGUCAGCGGAUACGGUUGAGCUUGAGCAAGCUAGGGGGUAAUGGAAUUCCCGGUGUAGUGGUGGAAUGCGUAGAUAUCGGGAGGAACACCAGUGGCGAAGGCGGUUACCUGGGGCUUUGCUGACGCUGAUGCGCGAAAGCGUGGGGAGCGAUCCGG
rnacentral:rRNA from 1 species